ACAUUUAAAAGUUUCUGAAGUUUGAAUUUGUAGCAGAAUUGAUUUUAUAUGAUAUUUGUGAGGAACAGAGGCAGAUAAAGUAUUGUUGUUUGCGUGGUAUACCAAAUGCUGAAAUAUUUUAGAAGCACAAUAAUUAAUAUACCUCUUUAUUUAAAGUGCCUCCAGUAGUGAGACGUGAAGGAGAAUCUGCUGAGAUCUUCUGUCCUUAUGAUUCAAUCUAUAAAUCAAAGCCAAAGUCUCUCUGUAAGGGGAAGUGCUCCACUAGAGACAGAAAUCCUCUCAGUGAGACCGUGAGAGAAGAGAAAGAGACCAAGACUGACAGAUUGACUCUGAAAGAUGACGUCACUGCAAGUGUCUUCACUGGGAGCAUCACUGCUCUGACAGCAGAGGAUGCUGGGAAAUACUGGUGUGCAGUGACAUUAGAAACAGAGCUCAAUUAUCUUCACACUCAUGGUCAUCAUGAACGAGGGUGAGGAAGGUUUCUUCAUCUGAAUAUGUCAAACUCCGACUGUGAAUUGAUCUUCUUGUGUUUGUAAUCACUUCCAGAGCUGAACUUGACUAAGUAUGAAGGAGACGACGUGUCAAUCCAGUGCAAACAUCAGGAUGAAGAUCAGAAAAGCUUCUGCAAAGCACAUGAAGCCUCCAUGUGUGUGAAGGAUGGAGUUUCAUUGGAGACGAUCAGAGAUGAUCGAUUCUCUUUCAGUGAUGAAGCAUCUGCUGGAGUCUUUACUGUGAACAUCACUGAUCUGAGAGAAGAGGAUUCUGGGAUAUACUGGUGUGGAGCUCACAUCACCACUAAAGUCAGUCUCACUGUUAAAACAGAUUUCACCUUGCUCAACAUUAUUUGUGUUUCUUCAGCUCUUGUCCUGAUUGGUGGAUUCUCUCUGAUUAUGUGUAAACUGAACCUAUUUUUGUAUUAUGUUAUAUAAAGCAGAUAGUAAUCACUACUGACUAACCCAAUCCCUAAAAUAAAGGCCCAAACCUUUUGUCUGUCCAAAUGAGGGCAACCCAAAAUAUCUUCAGUGGGAAGUUUAUCUCAGAUGUGUUGUGAAUAGGGACAGAUGAGACUGGUGACUGAUUCAAUUCUUGUGUUUCAUCAGUUUAAUUCUCCACAUUCUGACUCUAAUUCUGGAGCAGAACCACUUUUCAUCCUCCGACAACACUCUCUACAUUAAGUUUUCAGAAGUGUGAUUACUGUCAUGCAUGAUGGUACACUCAUCUCUUGAUGAUACACUCAUCUCGCAGCUUACAGAGAGUUGUGUUUGAAUAUUUUCAAACUGUGACUGUGUGUUCAAGAUCAAACAACGUGCUCUCCAGCUUGCGGUUUUCUUUGCUGUUCUUUGCAUCAUAACCAAGAAGCCCUUUAGCCACGUGCAGGUGUGAUAAAAACAGGAAACAGUUUCUUGAGCGCCAAUGGACAGAGAAGUUUCCACUUCACAAAAACAUGCUAUGAAGUCUUAUUGCGUGGAAAUAUAAUAAUAGUUCAGUUUCAAUUCUUUCUACUAAACUGUUUUAUUCCAGGCAUAUUUACUAGAAGCCAUGAUGAAUGUGUAAUGCUGGAUGUUAUGGCAUCAUUGGGAAGUAUAUAUAUGCUCAAAACUACCAGCAGUCACAUACAAGUAUGCAUUAUAACAUAUCUGCUUGCUUUUCAAAUGCACAUAGAUGCUUGGAUGGUGGCAGUUGUUAUUAUAGAACAUAUUGCAUAUUGCAAAUUUGCCACAAUGACAAUAUACACAAGGGCCAUGAGGUUUAAGGCCAGUUUCGACUCCUCCCUUUUGUCCUGAUAUGGUGCUGAGUGUUGUGUGUCAGUUUGAAUGAAAACAAAGUUUGCGGGUCAAUCAGAAUUUGAACAGUAAGAGCAAAGGGGAAAAUUUUCCGUGAGUAUUCAAUUACACUCUGACCUGUUCUUGACACAAAGGUAGUUUGAAGCCUUGUGAAGAUUUGUAAUACAGAUCAUGAAGCAUAUACAAUUUUAUUAUUAUUUAUUUUUAAAGGGCACCUAUUAUGCCCCUUUUUACAAUAUCGGUUUGGUUUUGAUUAUCAUGUCUAUUGUGCUGAAAUCACGUAUUUUAAAGCCAUAUUAGUUUAAACUUCUGAUAGACAGUUUUCUGAGCUAACAUCCGUAGCACACAUAUAAAAAAAUUGGCUACACACGGCAUGUGAGUAAUGUUACUAAAGCUCUCUUUCACACACGAGUUUAUGUUAAAAACACGCAUAAGUUACAAAAACACAGUCGGUUAUGUUUGUGAAGGUAAACAUCUGGGAAAGAAAUUGCAUGUUUAUAUUAGAUCUGUGUAUUUAGUGACAUCAGCAUAUUACAGGAUACAGUGCCUAUACUGGUGUCUAUGCUAUUAAUAUGACCCAAAGAAUAAAAUAAAAGCAGAGAAUCACUUACUGCUCUGGACUGAAUAACAUCUAUAACCUUAUUAAGAAGACAUGUUUUACUUGAAUGCUGCUUUUUAAUGCUCUAACAUGAAGAUAAACAUGUGCGGUGCACUCAGGGUGGUGUCUCGGCUAGGUUAGGGCAGUGUCAAUCAACAAUCGUGGGCGGGGCUUGUAUAUUGUGAUGUCACACUUUACGGAUUUUGUGAUCCGCUUGCUGUGAUGCUGCUAAUGAUAUAUGGAGAUUGAAAAAAGGAGCAGGUGGAUUUUUAUCAUUAUAAGGUGGUUGUGUACACACACUGCCAACACACAUUUAUGUCCAAACAACAUGUGAAAGUGAAUAUUGCAUAACAGGUGCACUGUAAAACCCGACAAGUAACUUAACUCAAACCGUUUGAGUAAACAGAUAUCCUUAAAAACCUGACAAGUUAGGUUUACUCAAACCGUUUGAGGAAACCGAUUGCCUUAAACCAUUUAAGUUUUAAAACUAACAUGAGGUGCCAUUAAAGUGUAAUAUUACAAUACACACAGUGAAGUAAAGUGCAACAGAAUGUUAA
rnacentral:lncRNA from 1 species